rnacentral:rRNA from 1 species
AAUAUUGGACAAUGGGGGCAACCCUGAUCCAGCCAUGCCGCGUGUGUGAAGAAGGUCUUCGGUUUGUAAAGCACUUUAAGUUGGGAGGAAGGGCUUUAGGCUAAUACCCUGAAGUAUUGACGUUACCACCAGUAUAAGCACCGGCUAACUCUUUGCCAGCAGCUGCGGUAAUACAGAGGGUGCAAUCGUUAAUCGGCAUUACUGGGCGUAAAGCGCGCGUAGGUGGUUCAGUAAGAUGGGUGUGAAAUCCCCGGGCUUAACCUGGGAGCUGCUUUCAUAACUGCUGAGCUAGAGUACGGUAGAGGAUAGUGAAAUUUCCUGUGUAGCGGUGAAAUGCGUAGAUAUAGGAAGGAACACCAGUGGCGAAGGCGACUACCUGGACUGAUACUGACACUGAGGUGCGAAAGCGUGGGGAGCAAACA